AAAUAUUUUAUCCUUUUAAAGUGAAAAGCUAUCUUGAUUGUAUUUACUUUUUACCCUACAAGAUUAGUUUACACUAAGAUCCUUUCCUAAGCAAUCACAAUAAAGAUAAGAAGACUUAAUAACAAUGUUAGUUUCAUUAUACAAUAUCCAAAGAAAUGGGCUAACAUCGGCAAUAAUAUAAAGUAAGGCGGGGGACUAGACUCUUAUAAUGGGCUGGCAAGCAUCAGGCCCAUUUAAAUCAACUAGCAAUAGGUUUCAACAACAGUAAUGCGGCGAGGAGAGUGGUAGCCCGGUUCAUUGAACUUGGUCCAGAGUUCACAAUGAACUCCACUGGUCGAGUGUGCUCAUGCAAAAGGAGAAGAGGAUUAAUUAGUAUGUGCAUAUAGAAUGUAAAAGCAGAAACAUAAGAGAUGAAUAAAAUUAUAAUCUAAAGUAACAAAGCAAGUCAAAUAAUAUUUGUGAUAAACCUCUAGAUAUUAGUUUAAGUCAAUAUCCAUUGUCUAGAUUGGACCACGCUCCCCUCUCAAGGUUUUUCUUUGACUCCUGGCACUUUCUAGUUCACAAAAGGCCCACAAUAUUUAUUCCAGGGAGGGACUCCUUGUAGUAGAGUCAAAUCCACAGCAAAGGCCAAUAGUAACUAAUAUUUGUUCCUCCGUGAAGGUUUGAACACAAAUAUCAACUUUGAGCUUCAAACAAUAGUUUGACCAAAUAGACUCAAAGAAUUCUUACAAGUAAACUUCUAAAACAUUGAGAGUCUAGCACAGUGCCUCAAAUCAUCAAUAGAAAAUCACUUGUGACUGAGUACCAAGACAUUAGAAACUUGAAAUCUAAAUGAACCUAAACCAGCUUUAGGGCAGUUGUAAGGCUCCGUAAAAAUUUACAAAAGAAAAUAAUAUUUUGGGUUGAACAAUGCACUGGAAAGGAAAGAAAAAAUUUGGGCAGAAGAAAUGCACUUCUGCGGCCCACUAUGCGAUCGCGGAAUCACUCUGCGGACCGCAUAAUGGUCGCAGAGUGAGGCAGGGAAGGGCAAUUUUGGAGACCAGGUUUGCAGCGCAUUAUGCAACCACAGACCAAUUCUGCGGUGCAUUAUUCGACCGCAGAACAGGUCUGCGAGCCGCAUAAUUACCGCAGACCAGGUCAGUCACGCCCAGUUUUGGAGGCAAAACUAUGCGGACCGCAUAUCAAUUAUGCGAUCGCAGACCUUGUUCCGUAGCUUCAUUUUUGUAUUUUUAAAACCCGACCCUACUUCGUUAAAUACACGCUUUGGGCUAUUUUUGAGAUAAAAUCUGACACUUUUAAAGUUAGAGAGUGCCCUAGAGUGAGAAGGUGUUCUUCAACAGUUUGUUUUUCAAUUCUUGCUCGAAUCUUGGAAGAUUAACAAGGAAAAACUCCCUAGGUCUUCAUCCUAAAGGUAAUAUUCUACACCCUAACCCUCAAUUUCGAAUUUUAUCUAGAAUUUGGUUAUUAGCAAGAUAAUUUUGGGCUUGGGAGUUGUCCAUCUUACAUGUAUGUAUUAUCAAAGGGUGUAGGAAGAUUGUGAAGCUAAAAACGGUAAAUAAUGGGUUGUGGUAUGAUAGAAUCCUCUAUAAAAGGACCUUGAAACCUUAAUGCACACCUAGUGUUUUAUAAACUACUCAAAUGAGCUAGAAACAAGAUCAUCUUCCUAUUUUUUGAUCAAUUUGUUAUAUUUCUACAUUAGAUUAAAGUUUCAAAGAAUUACGGAACCUUUUAGAGUUUAAGGAAGUUCAACUGAGGUAUGUUGACUAAACCUUUCUCUUAGAAUUGAAUCCCACGAUAUUCAUGUAAUCUAUGUAAGUCCCGAGUGGUUCAUUAUGAAAUUGGCUAUUCCUAGUAAGAUUGUGUUAAAAGUUAUAUGUUUAAUAAGUACCCCAAAUACCUUAUUUAUGGUACGUUAUCAAUUGAGGAUGUGAUAAUAAUAUUAGCUGGACAUUAAAAAUGUUCGACUUGAAGUCAAAUUCAAACGAAGGCUAUUAUGCCAAAUUUUGUGAAGAAUCUCUAUUUGCCUUAGACUCUUAAUUGCUCACAUGUGUACUACAUGCCUUUAUUUGGAUUGUUGUUUUUGUUAUUGAUGAUGUUGAUGUUAGAAAGUGAAAAGGUGAGCAUGGAAUACUAAAUGCGGCCAACGUGCCAAGAAUGAUUUUAUAAAUAUGGCCAUUAGUGCCAAUGAAAUGAAAAUAUGUGAAAGAACUAUGAAAUGCGAUGAUUGAUAUAAAAAGGUUGAUGUCUCGAAUAAGACAGCCUAGACGAUCAGGUCGUGAUCGGACACCAUGACGCACACAUGGUGAUGAUUGUGCUUGAAAUUCUGAUUUGUGGUCGAUGUCUCCAAUGAGAUAGCCUAGCCGAUCGGGUCGUCAUCAGAUUCCGUGUUAAAGGUACGAUGGUAUUGAUAUUGAGGGUGAUUGUGGUUGAUGUCUCGAAUGAGAUAGCCUAGCCGAUCGGGUCGUGAUGGGACUCCGUGCUAAGAGUACAAUGUUAUUGGUUUUGUGAAUAAUGGUAUUGUGAACGAUGAUAUAUUUGUACUAAGAAUCUCCAACUUAAAAAAAUAUGGAAAUUAAUUUGAAUACAGUCUUGAUCCUAAGUUGAGGUUUGAUGCUUUUUAAGGCUUCCAUUGAUAUUAUGAUAUUCUUAUUUGUUUUAUUUAUCAUUCUAUUCAGAGGGUGUUUUGUCAUUCAUACUAGUACUAUUCCAUAUGUACUAAUGUCCCUUUUUCCGAUGGUGCUGCAUCUUCAAUGGAUGCAGGUGGUUCCACAUCUAGUGAUAUUGAUCAGUGAUAGCGGUACAUCCUCUUCCCAGCUGACUUGGUGAGCCCCACUUCAUUUCGGGGUUAUGUAUCUUUUGUUCGUCGCGUAUUGUGUUUGAGGUAUAGCCGGGCCUUGUUGCCGACAUUAUCAUAGUACUCUUUUGUAUAUAUCAAAGGCUCCGUAGACUGUGAGUUGUGUACUGGUGUUGGGAAAGUCAAACUAUAUGGUGUUGUGGUUGUAUUACUUGUUCUAUUUAAGAAUUUAAAAUAAUGGAACUAUUGGUAAUAAAUUGGUAUUGUAGACAUGAGCAUCUUAUUGUCUAAUUAACAAAAAUGUGCAUCCUAUUUAUUAAUGGAUGAGUUUGCUCGGCCGGGUUCACUCGGUUGAGCGUCGGUCGCGCUCUAUAGUUUUGAGGCGUGACAAACUUGGCAUCGGAGCCUAAUGUUUUAAAGUGUCCUAGGAUAUCUUGGAGCCGUGUCUAGUAGAGUCUUUCUUAUCGGUAUGUUGUCGACCACAUCUAUAAUUAGGAUGAUACUUGGGGAUUUACGAAUAAUACCCUUCUUUCAUUUUCUUGAUCGUGCGAUAAACCUGGAUGUAAGAUUGUUCCUAUUUUAACUCGAGCUUUACUUUAACUUUCUAUAUAUUGCACCUAAGAAGAAGGCAAGAAUUGGCCAAAGAGCCAAUGUCACCCUAGGAGUAACAGUUGAUUCUAUAUAUGGUGAUGCGGGUGAGAAGCCAAGGAGUGAGAAUAUUCCUCCAGUUACUACACUACAUGAUUCUACUACAAGUGAUCAGACCGCACCUAUCCCUACACCUACUAAGGGUACAACGGUCCCUCUAACUGAUAUACCAAUUCCACCUCCAGUUCCAGCUUCUGAUUCUGGUGUUUCUGAUGUUGAUCUUCCAGGAGCCAUACAUAUGUUGUCUCUGAUAGUGGCUGCCCAAGCCUAGAGAUCAAAUGUUACACCUACUUCUUCCAGUCAACCAGGGGAUUCUACUAGUUCAAGGGUGAACAAGUUUCUCCAGUUGGAUCCUCCAAUGUUCGCGGGUACUAACCCAGAGGAGGAUCCAUAGGACUUCAUUGAUGAGACGCACAAGACUCUCUGAGUUAUGCAUGCUAUUGAGAUAGAUGAAUUGGAAUUAUCCUCCUACUACCUUAAAGAGGUGGCAUAUUCUUGGUUUGAACUAUGGGUGGAGUCCCGUGAAGAAGGGAACCCUCCGACGAGGUGGGGUGAGUUUGCCAAUGCAUUCAUUGAUCAUUUAUUUCCUACCAAGACUAAGGCAACAUGUGCUGCUGUGUUUGAGAACCUGAGGCACGAUUGCCUGAGUGUGUGGGAUUACCACAUAAGAUUCCGGUACCUAUCCAAGUAUGCUAUUUACAUGUUUCCUACUAUGGAGGCUAGAGUGCGACGAUUUGUUCACAGCCUUAGUCCCUUAGUAAUUAAUGAGGCCACUACAACUGCCUUGAAUUAUAAUAUGAACUAUGGAAAGAUGGUGGCAUUCGCUCAAGCCACCGAGAUCUGCAAAUUGAGGAACAUAAUGGAGACAGAGUGUAGUAAUCAGGCCUGGUUUGCGGGAAACUUUGGUGGUUCUUCUGGUGGCGGAAGGUCAGCCUUUAGGGGAGGGUCAUCAGCGCCAUCACAGUACCUUGCUCAGUCUUAGGCUAGUGCACUUCCAUAAGGGCCCAGUCAACAGCAGGGUCAUCAUGGUGGUAGUUUCCAGCAGCAGAGGAGGCCCUCGUGCCCUAGGAAUAGAAAGAUGCACCUAGUAAUAUUCUACAUGGACUUACCCAUAUGCUACAUAUGCAGAUUGAGGGGUCACAUUCAUAGGAAUUAUCGUUCGUCCCGCCAUGGGGCAGGCAGGGGCACUGCACAUCCAGCCAGUUCUGCAGCUACUACAUCCGUAAUACCUCCUCCAACUCAAGGCACUCAAAUACCUGCUGGGCUUGGUGGAGCUAGGGGUGGGGCACAAAGUUGGGGAGGAUCUGACCAUUUCUUUGCUAUAAGGGGUCGCCAGAAUUCAGAGGCUUCUCCAGAUGUGGUGAUAGGUAUAUUGACUGUCCAAUCUCAGAUGUGUAUGAUCUUAUUGAUCUAGGUUAUACUUUUUCAUAUGUCACACCUUAUGUUACUAUGGAAUUUGGGAUAGAACAGGAACAACUUCAAGAGUCAUUAUAUGCAUCUACUCCGGUUGGUGAGUUUAAUUUGGCCGCACAAGUUUAUAGGGAUUGUAUUAUCACGUUGCGUUGUCGGGACACCGUAGUUGAUCUUAUUGAAUUGAGAAUGGUCUAUUUUUAUGUGAUAAUGGGAAUGGAUUGGAUUUAUUCAUGUUUGACCAAACUUGAUUUCCGAAACAAAACUGUUAGGUUCAAAUUUCCAAAUGAGCCAGUUAUUGAAUGGAAGGGUGAUGAUGUAGUGUUGAAGGGUAGGUUUAUUUCUUACCUUAAGGCCACGAAAAGGAUCAACAAGGGGUGUAUUUACCAUUUGGUUUGGGUUUUGGACACCGAUUUUGAGGCACCUACACUUAAGUCAGUUCUUAUUGUGAAUGAAUUUUUGCAAGUCUUUCCGGAUAAACUCCAUGAAAUCCCACCUGACAGUGAGAUUGAUUUUGGGAUUGACGUGAUGCCAGACAUGCAUCCUAUAUCUAUUCCACCCUACCGAAUGGCACCAUUAAAAUUUAAGGAGCUAAAUGAACAAUUAAGAGACUUGUUAGAAAAGGGUUUCAUCCGACCGAGUGUGUCACCUUGGGGCGCACUGAUGAUUUCUGUAAGGAAGAAAGAUUUGUCACUGAGAAUGUGUAUUGGUUAUCAAUAACUUAAGAAGGUCACAAUCAAGAAUAAGUACUCACUGCCAAGGAUAAAUGACUUGUUUGACCAAUUACAAGGUGAUAAGUACUUGUCCAAAAUUGAUUUACGAUCCAGAUAUCAUCAAUUGAAGACCAGAGAGACACAUGUUCCGAAAAUGGCUUUUAGAACCAGGUAUGGGCAUUUUGAAUUUUUGGUGAUGUCUUUUGGGCUAACAAAUGCCCCAGUGGCAUUUAUGGAUCUUAUGAAUCGGGUAUUCAAACCUUUCCUCAACUCCUUCAUGAUAGUGUUCAUUGAUGAUAUUCUUGUUUGUUCGCGGAGUCAAGAGGACCAUGCCGAUCAUAUCAUGGUAGUUUUGUAGACUCUGUAUCAGCAGUUUUGAAAUGUGAAUUUUGGCUUGAAUUUGUUAUAUUAUUGGGUCAUGUUGUCUUUAGAGAAGGAAUUAUUGUUGUUCCUCAAAAUAUUGCAGUUGUGAAGAAUUGGCCGAGGCUUACAACUCCAACAGAGAUUCGCAGUUUCUUAGGCUUAGCUGGGUAUUACAGAAAAUUUAUGGAGGGUUUUUCUAUCCUUACCUCUCCGUUGACUAAAUUGACGCAGAAGGUAAUUAAGUUCCAAUGGUCAGAUGCUUGUGAAAGGAGCUUCGAGGAGUUGAAAUUGAGAUUGACUAUGGCACCAGUGUUGGAUCUACUAGACGAUAUUGAUGGAUUUGUAGUAAAUUGUGAUGCUUCGAGAAUCAGACUUGGGUGUGUAUUAUUGCAACACGACAAGGUGAUAGCUUAUGCUUCCAGGCAACUCAAGAAUCAUGAAAAGAACUAUCCAGCACAUGACUUAGAACUUGUGGCGGUAGUAUUUGUAUUGAAAAUUUUGCUUCAUUAUUUAUAGGGGGUCCAUGUGGAUAUAUUCACGGACCAUAAGAUCCUUCAAUAUAUUGUCAAGCAGAAGGAAUUGAAUUUGAGGCAAUGAAUAUGGCUUGAGUUACAUAAGGACUAUGACAUUGAUAUUCUAUAUCAUCCGAGGAAGGCUAAUGUUGUGGCAGAUACUCUUAGCUAGAAUUCUAUGGGUAGUUUAGCACACUUGGAGGUAUAUCAACGGUCAUUGGCCGAGGAAGUUUACCGAUUGGAUAGUUUGGGGGUUAGUCUUGCGGACUCUAGUGAAGGAGGGGUAAUUGUGCAAAAUAGGGCUGAAUCAUCGCUUGUUGUGGAAGUCAAAGAGAAGAAAUACAACGAUCCAUUAUUGGUGCAAUUGAAAGAGGUGAUUCAUAAACAUAAGACCAUGGCCUUUUCUCUUGGCAUGGGUCAUGGUACACUAAGAUACCAAGGGAGUCUAUGUGUUCCAAAUAUAGAUGGUCUCCGAGAGAAAAUCAUGAUAGAGGCUCACACUUCUAGGUAUUCUAUGCAUCCGGGUUCUACAAAUAUGUAUCAUGAUCUUAAAGAAGUCUAUUGGUGGAAUGAUAUGAANNNNNNNNNNNNNNNNNNNNNNNNNAAGAAGAUGAUUGUGUGUUCUUGAAUGUUUUACCCAUGAAAGAUAUAAUGUGAUUUGGUAAGAAAGGGAAAUUGAGUCCGAGGUAUGCCAGGCCGUACAGAAUCAUUCAGAGGAUCGGUGAGGUAGUGUACAAGCUUGAGCUACCACCGGAUAUAUCAUUGGUACACCCGGUGUUUCAUGUGUCUAUGUUGAAGAAAGUAAUUGGAGUCCCAACACUCAUUGUUCCGGUUGAGACUAUGGAUAUUAAUGAGGAAUUAACUUAUGAAGCGAUUCGAGUUUAUAUUAUUGAUAGGCAAGUCCAUAAGUUGAGAAAUAAGGAAAUUACCUCGGUGAAUGUGAUAUGGAGAAACCACCAAGUUGAAAAGGCUACUUGGGAGGCCGAGGAAGAAAUGAAGAAAAAGUAUACUUAUUUGUUUGAAUAGACAUGUAUUUAUAAUCUUGUGAUCUAUGAAAAUUCUAAGAGUUACUUUCUAUGAAUUAUGUAUCAUUUGUACAAAUUGACGUUAAGGGUGUUCCUUUUUGGUAAUAUAUUGCUUGUGAGGCCACAAUUGGUGUUGUUUUGUGUUAUGUUACAUCGUUGGAUUCUGUAUAUGUUGUUAGGAUGUGUUUUGGGAUUAUUUGACAUGUGGAUAGGCCCAGUUACAGGGGAGACUCUAGCGAAUGUUUUGGAAAUUUAGGGAGUUAGCCAAAUUUUGAAACUACUGGUGAGCGUGAAUUAACAGUUAGGCCACAUUUGAUGCUAAUAAUAGAUUGUGACCCUCAUUCGAUGACAAAUGAUCCUAAGUGGGGGAGAAUGUAAGGCCCCGUAAAAAUUUGAAAAAGAAAAUAAUAUUUUAUGGGGCUGGACUAGGCUUACGUGUUUGAGGAUUGUAGAGGAAAAAUGCACUGGAAAGUAAAGGAAAUAUUUGGGCAGAAGAAAUGCACUUCUGCAUGCGGCAGUGAUGGGCAAUUAUGAGACCAGGUUUGCAGUGCAUUAUGCGACUGCACACCAAUUCUGCGGUGCAUUAUGCGACUGCAGAACAGGUCUGCGGACCACAUAAUGACCGCAGACCAGGUCAGUCAUGCCUAGUUUUGGAUGCCAAAUUAUGCGGCCGAUAGGCGAACCGCAUAUCAAUAUUGCGAUCCCAUAUGCGAUCACAAACCUUGUUCCGUAGCUUCAUUUUUGUAUUUUUAAAACCCGACCCUACUUCGUUAAAUACACGCUUUGGGCUAUUUUUGAGAAAAAAUCUGACACUUUUAAAGUUAGAGAGUGCCCUAGAGUGAGAAGGUGUUCUUCAACAGUUUGUUUUUCAAUUCUUGCUCGAAUCUUGGAAGAUUAACAAGGAAAAACUCCCUAGGUCUUCAUCCUAAAGGUAAUAUUCUACACCCUAACCCUCAAUUUCGAAUUUUGUCUAGAAUUUGGUUAUUAGCAAGAUAAUUUUGGGCUUGGGAGUUGUCCAUCUUACAUGUAUGUAUUAUCAAAGGGUGUAGGAAGAUUGUGAAGCUAAAAACGGUAAACAAUGGGUUGUGGUAUGAUAGAAUCCUCUAUAAAAGGACCUUGAAACCUUAAUGCACACCUAGUGUUUUAUAAACUACUCAAAUGAGCUAGAAACAAGAUCAUCUUCCUAUUUUUUGAUCAAUUUGUUAUAUUUCUACAUUAGAUUAAAGUUUCAAAGAAUUACGGAACCUUUUAGAGUUUAAGGAAGUUCAACUGAGGUAUGUUGACUAAACCUUUCUCUUAGAAUUGAAUCCCACGAUAUUCAUGUAAUCUAUGUAAGUCCCGAGUGGUUCAUUAUGAAAUUGGCUAUUCCUAGUAAGAUUGUGUUAAAAGUUAUAUGUUUAAUAAGUACCCCAAAUACCUUAUUUAUGGUACGUUAUCAAUUGAGGAUAUGAUAAUAAUAUUAGCUGGACAUUAAAAAUGUUCGACUUGAAGUCAAAUUCAAACGAAGGCUAUUAUGCCAAAUUUUGUGAAGAAUCUCUAUUUGCCUUAGACUCUUAAUUGCUCACAUGUGUACUACAUGCCUUUAUUUGGAUUGUUGUUUUUGUUAUUGAUGAUGUUGAUGUUAGAAAGUGAAAAGGUGAGCAUGGAAUACUAAAUGCGGCCAACGUGCCAUGAAUGAUUUUAUAAAUAUGGCCAUUAGUGCCAAUGAAAUGAAAAUAUGUGAAAGAACUAUGAAAUGCGAUGAUUGAUAUAAAAAGGUUGAUGUCUCGAAUAAGACAGCCUAGCCGAUCAGGUCGUGAUCGAAUACCAUGCCGCACACAUGGUGGUGAUUGUCUUGAAAUUAUGAUUUGUGGUCGUGUAUCCAAUGAGAUAGCCUAGCCUAGUCAAUCGGAUCGUGAUCAGAUUCCAUGUUAAAUGUAUGGUGCUAUUGAUAUUGAGGGUGAUUGUGGUUGAUGUCUUUAAUGCUAUAUCCUAGUCGAUCGGAUCAUGAUCGGACUCCGUGCUUUGAGUACAGUGGUAUUGUUAUUGUGAAUAAUUGUAUUUGAACGAUGGUAUAUCAAUAAUAAGAAUCUUCAACUUAAAAAUAUGGAAAUUAAUUUGAAUACUAUCUUGAUCCUAAAAUUGAGGUUUGAUGUUGUUUAAGGCUUCGAUUGAUAUUAUGAUAUUCUUGUUUGUUUUAUUUAUCAUUCUAUUGAGAGGGUAUUUUGUCAGUCAUACUAGUACUAUUCCAUAUGUACUAACGUCCUUUUUGAAGGGGCAGCUGCCUCUUCAAUAGAUGCAGGUGGUUCCACAGCAGGAGAUAUUGAUUAGUGCUAGUGGUACGUCCUCUUCCCAGCUGAGUUGGUGAGCCCCACUUCAUUUCGGGAUUAUGUAUCUUUUGUUCCCCACGUAUUGUUUUUGAGGUAUAGCCGAGGCCUUGUUGCCGCCAUUAUCAUAGUACUCUUUUGUAUCUAUUAGAGACCCCAUAGACAUAGUGUGAGUUGUGUAUUGGUGUUGGAAAAGUCAAACUAUGUGGUGUUGUGGUUGUAUUACUUGGUCUAUUUAAGAAUUUAAAAUGAUGGAACUAUUGGUAAUAAAUUGGUAUUGUAGACAUGAACAUCUUAUUGUCUAAUUAACAAAAAUGUGUAUCCUAUUUAUUCAUGGAUGAGUUUGGAUAGAAGAAAAUCUAAUAGGCUUGGUCUGUCGGGUUCACGCGGUUGAUCGCCGGUCGCGCUCCCCGAUUUUGGCGCGUGAUAGCAGUCACUUAGAAAGCUAAAAAAUACAUAAAUCAGAAGAAUGAUAAAACUUCACAGCAUAUCCAGUAGUCUAGGCUAAGUAUUGUAAAGCUUACAAUUAGUUUCACAUGAAUCAUGCUACGGAGAAUAAGGAAAUGCUAAUAGAACAAGACAUGGUGAACUUCAUCAGAUUGUUUUUCACUUAAACAAAUAAAACCUUAUAGGUAUAGUAUCUAUAGAAACAAGACAAUCUUGUGACAAUAUGGAAUACCAUAUAUAGCUAAUAUAAACAAAGCAAACAAGUGAGUUUAAAUCAACAGAGGUUUAACAAAAACAGAACAAGACUAGUGUUAACGUCAUGAACUAUAACAUUGUAAGUAGACAAAUCUCAUAACAUGCUUCAUAUCCUAUUCAUGAUACAAGGUAUGAAAACACGAAUGUCAACAUGAACUUUCAUCAGUAUAUAUCCAAAUGGUCGAGUAUUAAAAAACACUAUCAGUGUCACACACUCAAAUUCAGACAUUGAGCUGAACGAAAAGGAAUUAAAAUAACCAUCCUUAGGACAACUUACCAGUUUUUUAUUUUUCCGUUAAGGAUUUGUACCCGGAGUCAGCUCAAGAACAAUUAGCCUCGAUUAGAAAUUAAAGAAAAAAAGGAUGGAAAGAUUGUGAGCGGAUAGAAAUUUUAAUUUUCUCGUGUAGUGAAUUUACUCUAUUGAUUUGUGUGUUUGUUAAGGGCAUUAAAGCUUGGUAUUUAUAGCCAAGUAAUUAGUGUUUUAGGGUUUGAGAUUUUGAACUUUUAUGACUAAUUAGUGACGAACUUUGACGAAACAUUUCAUGACGAAAUCUUCAGAAUAAAAUGAAUAAUCAGAGGGAAUAAUAUGUGAAGAUUUUACCCUCUAAAGAUGAUGAAGAACUAGCCGUUUGAAGUCGUUUAACCUCCGUACAAAAAUUUUCCUAGAGGUCCUUGCGUUUGACCUCCAUACCAUCAGAUGUCAUACAGAGGUCAUGAGAUUCCUCCGAAUCUUCUUGAAUCGAAGAUGCAUGCAAGGUUUUAUUGAGGGAUCAGGCGUGAAUGAAAGUUUGAUGAUGAGAUUCUUAGGGUUUAUUUUUUGGGGAUAGUGUUUAGGUGUUUGGAAUUUGAAGGGAGAUGAUAGAAAGGGGAAUGUUUUGGUAGUGAUCUCAUAGUGACCUUGCACGGAUUUAUGCUAGGGUUCAGGUAUUUCCAGAGGUGUGAGAGGAUGAGAGAGAUGAGAGAAAAAGGUUAAGGGGCGGCUG
rnacentral:lncRNA from 1 species